rnacentral:lncRNA from 1 species
AAAAUAUAAGUAAUUUUUGACAUCGGUAUAAUUUACAAGGUGAUGAAACUUUGACAAAUAAUUUUCUAUUUUAUUUUGAAAAUUAUAUAGUUUUUGCAUGCUUGAUGGUCUACAUUUUUUUUAAAAACAAACUUAACUGGUAAGAAUCCUAAAACAACACAUAUUUUGAACAAGAUGGAGUAAUUGUACUUAAACCUCCAUCUGAUCCAUAUACUUUUUAACCUUUUUUUUCACCUCCCAAACUACGUUACGGCCGACGUGCCGACCUGCACACUCUCGUGACAUCGCAUUUCUUGAUGACUUCAUGAUGGAAUCAAAUCAAAUUUAAUUGUAAUCGUGGCACUUGGCUUGUUUAGUUGACUUUGCGGUGUGCUUUCUCUCUCGUUAUACGCUGUCGAUCGUCCUAACCCGCUCCCCGAUUGCUAAAUGCCAAAAUCAUGUGACACGAGUCGCUAUCUCCUCCGUAUGUCCAUCGCUAAUCUUGUUAAUGAUUCCC